GCUGUAAUUGAACAAAAAAUGGAUCAGAAUAAGAAGUCAAAUUUCUGAAAAAAGGACAAAAGAAAUUAGCAUAAAACACGGAAUCAUGAGUGAAGAGUGGAAAGUGUUUAUAACAAGUUAACCAAAGCGGGAUUAUCAGAUGAAUUUCGUGACUGAUUCCAAACCAUAAAUUUUGUAAUCAACUUUGGCGACAGAUUCAAUCAAACCACGAUUACUUCAAGACACAUUGGCAGGAACUGCUUCGCUAGGAGUAAACCUCAGCAAGGGUUGACCAACUCCAUUAGUUAAAUAAGCUGAAUAUUCUUGAUCGACCAGAAUAACUUGCACCAGAGCUGACUAUCCUUAAGAUAUUAUUGUAUUCUUAUCGAAAAACUAAUUGAAUAUUUAUAACAUACUAAACAAAUUAAACAAAAUCACUAAAAUAAUUUUAUAAAAUAA